rnacentral:lncRNA from 10 species
CCUCUUGCAGCUUGCAUGCUGGUGGAGUGAGAGAGGGGAGACAGACAACAAACAAGUGACAAAAAUUGCAGGUAGUGAUAAGUGGUGUGGAGAAAAAUAAAGCAGAGGAUAGGGUGACUUUACACCUGGUGAGAUACUGCCUCUCAAAGAAGACCUUUGAGCGCAUACACACGGGAUGAAGGAAUAAGUCUUGCAAACACGCGGGCCUGGAGGAGGAAUAGCCUUUCCAAGCUGAGAGAAAAUCAGCCAUAAACCCAGAGGUGGGGAUACGCCUGCCAUGUUGCAGAAACAGUGAAAGGCCGGCAUGGCUGAGCAGCGUCAGCCAGCCCGAGAGCAGUACCAGCUAGGCUUGGCCAGAUCCAGUGAAGCCUGUGGGCCAUUAUAACAGGAACGGGAAACCAUGAGAGAAGGGUGAGCCGAGGAAUGACCGCAUCUGAUUCAUGUUGUUAAAAGUUAGUCUUGCUGAUGUGUGUAAAAUACACAAUGGAGAAGCACAGAUGUCCUUGGGAUACCAGUAAGGUAGCUUGGACUAACUAGCCUGGCAGCCACGGACAGGAUGAGAAGAAGGCUAUUUUAUUUUAUUUUAUUUUAUUUAGAUACAUUUUGAUUGGAAUGGAUUUGGAUUUGGGGCAUAGUGUGUGAAAGAACAAAAAGAAAUCAAGAGUUGAUUCUUAGGUUCGGGCCUGAUGACUGAGUUAAUGGCGGUGCCACUUAAUGAAAUGGAGGAGCAGAUUUGGGGAUGGGGAAAUCAAGAGUCUUUUCUUACACAUGUUAUGUUUAAGGUGUCUGUUAUACAUCCAAAUGGAGAUAUUGAAUAAACAAUCGAUAUAUGAGUCUAGAGAGAUACAUUUGGGAUUCAUUAGCAAAUAGAUACUUUUUAAGUCUUAAGUCUAGUUAGGAUCACAUGGGGAGGGGAGAUAGCUGAAGGAAAGGACCAAGAGGCACUCCAACACUUGAAGGUUAAGUAGAAAAGGAGGCGCUACCAGUCAGGGCAGGAGAAACACCAAGAGAAGGUGAAGCGUUGGAAAACAAGAUAAUUGUUUCAGGAAGGAGAGAGUGAAGAGUCUUAUCAGAUACUGCUGAAAUUAGUAAGAUAAGGACUGAGAAUUUGAACACUGGAUGUGGCCUGAUGAAGUUGCUGAUGACCUUGAUGAAAACAGUUUCAGUGGAGUCAUAGGGGAGAAAGUCUGAUUAGGGUAUGUUAAUAGGAUGGGAGGUGAGGAAGAGAAAGUGUUCUAAACAGCUCUUGAGAGGCUUUGCUUUGAAGGAGAAAAGGGCAGUAGCCAGAGAGGUACUUGAGAUCAAGGGAGGAUAUUUUAAGAUGAGAAAUGCUUUUUCUCAUUUUAGUAUGCUGGAAUGAUUUUUUUUUUUUUGAGGCGGAGUCUUGCUCUGUUGCUAGGCUGGAGUGCAGUGGUGUGAUCUCCGCUCACUGCAACCUCCAACUCCCUGGUUCGAGCGAUUCUCCUGUCUCAGCCUCCAAAGCAGCUGGGAUUACAGUCAUGUGCCACCACACCUGGCUAAUUUUGUGUUUUUAUUAGAGACGGGGUUUCUCCACGUUGGCCAGGCUGGUCUCGAAUUCCCAACCUCAGGUGAUCCACCCGCCUCGGCCUCCCAAAGUGUUGGGAUUACAGGUGUGAGCCACUGCGCCCAGCUGGAAUGAUUCUUUAGAGAGGUAAAAUUGGGCCAGGCGUGGUGGCUCACACCUGUAAUCCCAGCACUUUGGGAGGCCAAGGCGGGUGGAUCACGAGG